CCAGCCCUGUGCUCUCACUGUCGUGAGCUCUGCCGUGCCCUUCCCAGCGUGAUGGAUUGUAUCCUCCAACUGUGACCAAAAUCAACACUCCGUCCCUCCAGCUUCUUGUUGGAUUUUGGUCAAAACAACAAUAAUACAAAAGGAAAUAUCAUCAAGCUUGUUCGAACAAUUCACCAAGCAGAGCCCAUCCACUUUCUUAGCUCUGCAUCAUAGAAUACAGCACAGACUCAGACCACUGCCGGCACUAAAAAGUAAAUUUGGGCUCCGAAUGCUAACAGCAGACCUGACCCUAUUAGUGAGAGGUUGCUUGGGUUUUAAGCAACUUCUUUAAGUAUUUGGCUCAUCCUCAGAUGUAUCUAAUGUGAUCCAGAAUCUUCCAUCGUCCACUGCUAGAAACAGUCCAACGAAAUUUGUCUUCCAGAGGGCCCAGGCCACUCAAAUACCUAGUGCACCAUUUUGGAGAAUUGAAAAUGUCUCAGAGCUAAAAAGUGCUUCACCACAGAGAGAGGUGGACACGGGACAGACGCUGGACAAUUUCAUCAGGUGAGGCCCUCCCUGCAGGAAGAGUGUUGGGAUGGUCACAGUGUUCCCUGGAUCUAGUCUCAUAGACUGAUUCAUAAUAAUCAGGGUUGUGGUCGGUUGACAUAUAAACCCAGAAGGCAAGUCAUUCUCCAUUAAAUUAGUAACAGGAAGAUACAAAUGACUGAGCAAAAAAACAAAAAACAAAAACAAAAACAAACAAAAAAAAAAACAUUAAGAAAAUAGGACCCGGGUCCUGACCCUUGAUCUGGAGUGUGAGAAGAAGGGAGAAUUGAAACUAUGGUGGGCUGGCUAGAGCUCGUGAUAGGAUAUGAUGUGGUAGUUUGAAUGUAA